GACGAACGCUGGCGGCGUGCCUAAUACAUGCCAGUAGAACGCUGAAGGAGGAGCUUGCUUCUCUGGAUGAGUUGCGAACGGGUGAGUAACGCGUAGGUAACCUGCCUGGUAGCGGGGGAUAACUAUUGGAAACGAUAGCUAAUACCGCAUAAUAGCAGUUAUUGCAUGAUAACUGUUUGAAAGGUGCAAUUGCACCACUACCAGAUGGACCUGCGUUGUAUUAGCUAGUUGGUGGGGUAACGGCUCACCAAGGCGACGAUACAUAGCCGACCUGAGAGGGUGAUCGGCCACACUGGGACUGAGACACGGCCCAGACUCCUACGGGAGGCAGCAGUAGGGAAUCUUCGGCAAUGGACGGAAGUCUGACCGAGCAACGCCGCGUGAGUGAAGAAGGUUUUCGGAUCGUAAAGCUCUGUUGUAAGAGAAGAACGAGUGUGAGAGUGGAAAGUUCACACUGUGACGGUAUCUUACCAGAAAGGGACGGCUAACUACGUG
rnacentral:rRNA from 1 species